GCCCAGAGCGUUGAAAUCACAGAACUUGAGAAGGGUGAACAAUGUGGCAGCAACAAAGAAGACCAUGGAGAUUGCAACCCAAAAAUGCGGAAGUGUUUCCCAUAAUAACUCAUCAUUCGAGCUUUCUUCAUCUCCAGGUAAUAAUGCCUUACACAUUCUGAAAUUGUCAACGAGAAUAGUUAUUUCAAAUGCUAACAAGGGAAGAAAGACAAAUUUCAAAUUCACAGCCGCUGAAUGGUAGACAUAUAUGCUCUCAAGAUAUAUACAGAGAAGUAGUUCAAAUGCAACAAGCAAAGGUGUCGCAACAACAGCAUGACAUGGAGCCCAAUGGCGAUCAUAGGGAAUCGAUGGAGCAGGCAGAGAGAAUCUUCCUCGGGCAACAACUGCAUGAAACACCCACACAGGGGAGAAUACAACCCACCAGGAGAAAUCAGAAUAGUGAUCGAGCUUGACAACAAGCAAAACGGUGAAACACAAAAGCAAAAGGUGCGCUGAAAGCGCCUGAAAAGACUUUCCGACACUCCUCCAGCUCAUUGUUGUUUUUCCGUCCUCACACUACUGAUAACAGCUACUGCUCUGAAAUUGAAACCACUUCGAGUAAAAAUCAAGCUGUAUAUGAACUUGAAACUUGGGAAUUGAAGGAUUUUGAGUGAAUCUGAAGAGAAUAUAAUUAGGUUUUCGAAGGAAGAGGUGGAAUUGAGAAGUAUUAGAAGUGAGAGAGAGAAAUGGCAGUUGCGGGAAGAGGAAGACAAAUGGAAAGG
rnacentral:misc_RNA from 1 species